CCUGGUGUGUCUAGCGUCAUGGUUCCACUUCGAUCCCAUCCCGAACUCGAAAGUUAAACAUGGUAGCGGCCAAGAUACUUGUCGGGUAGCCGACCGGAAAAAUAGCUCCAUGCCAGGA
rfam:Cyanothece sp. PCC 7822, complete genome.